AAAAAAACCUUUGUCUUUUUCCUCCAUUCAUUGUGAUGCCUCUUGAUUUAAUAUGACACUGCACCAUCCCUCGUGUGAAGAUCAAAGAAUAGCAAAGAAUGAAAAAUCCUAAGCACAUUCAUCUCCAGAACCACCACAGGAAAAUUUGACUAACGAAGAAGUCUCAAAAGCAACUGCUCCAGCUAAUUCCAAUGUUUUCGACAGCGAGAGCCAGCUGUUCUCCAUAAGAGACUUGUCUCUGGCCAUGUCUCUAUUCCUGUAUACAAGACUCAUGGGAAGCGAUUGGCUGAAGCAUGCCAGUGUAACCCUUUAUUUAUUUAUAAUGGGACUGGCAAACACAUCCAAAGCAAACUUUUCCUUGGAAAGUUCCAGGGGCACAGUCAUUCGCCAUUUGUCAAAGACAGGCGGGGAACUCCUAUUUGGUCUUUCACUGGAAAACGAACUAUGAAGAUUUUUAUUCUCGUCGUUGCAACUAUUUUUUUGUUUUCAUGUGCAGCGGAUGUUCCUCCAUGAUGUUUUUGUCUUGGGGCUGGUUAAAAAGCCCACCAAUUUGAGGA